UCCCUGAUAGCUCAGUUGGUAAAGAAUCUGCCUGCAAUGUAGCAGACCCCAGUUUGAUCUCUGGGUUGGGAAG
rnacentral:tRNA from 1 species